UACGCGUUCUGGUGGAAGUGCGUGUUCACGCAAUCGCUGGAAUGGGCUUUUCGCCGUCCCCGUGCAACAACUGCCGUAAACUUCCUACAGUCUUUGCAGUAUUUAAGCGGCAUUAUUUUAAUUUACAUUAUCGAAAUCAAUACCUAACUUAACCAGCGUGGUAGGGGUUGAUUUGCGCAACCCUUUGCCAUUGUACAGGGAAGAUGAACGCCGAGGGGUCAUUGCAAAUGCUGCUGGCGGGAAUGCUUGCGAUAAAUCUGCUGAGCUUAAGUGUGGUUACUGCUCAGCCUGGUGGCACCACAACUCCUUGCCCAAAAGGCAAUGGCCAGGUACUUGGCGGCUCCAGCGGCCUGUAAUCGGUUCUGAUGGGCAAUUCUGUACAUACAAAAUGAGGUAUUGUUUCCCUACCUGCGGACCUUCACUCGGAAAUCAGCAAGUCUUGGGCCGCGGAAUGUCGUAAUCCGCGUUCGUCGCUAGUACUUGAUACACCCUGGCGCCUUUAUUGCGAUGUUCUCUUUGUCGACUGUAUCUUCGGUCUACUCUGUGUUCCCGGACUUAUCCGUUGCCCGCUGGCCCCAUUGACAGGUGGUGCGGCUGGUGAGCAAAACGAGCACCGAGUACACGGUCUUCUUCAGCGGCUGCCCGUUCUACAGCCCCUACAAUCAGACCACACCUAACUCGCCAACAUUCCAGAACAAGACGGUGAGAACUCAGUGAAACGCUGUGAAAAGUCAAGUCAGUGUCCCCCAUGGCUGUGGUACCUAUAAGCGCCAACUCACCGGCCUAACAAACUAACUACCGUUCCGGCGGGCUUCCCUCUCCCCCGCAACCCACGGCGUGUAGGUUACGUUCCGCAUCACCCCGGUGCUCUCGUCCACCGUCACGUGAGUGCGGCCCGGGGGCCCGUACAUGGGCCUUGGGCACUGUUGGGUAACACGACCUAUCUGGGCUGUACAUGGUCAGGGGACGAGGAAGUGCGUGCCCGGGUCGCUUGAGUUAGGGAGAAAACAGAACCAUAAGGCCAUACAAAGGUCAUGUCAAGUCCCUAGUGUAUAGUACGUUGUGGCUUUAACGCACGAACCAGUUGUGACGCUUCUAUGCAUGCCCCCUUGCCUCCUCUGCCGUCCCUUACCGCACACUCCCAGGAAGUUCGCUUCACCUCUCAUUCCCUGUAGCAGUCCAACAUGUGUGCCUUAGCUUAACCCUUUACUUGUUUCAGUAGCUCGGCCCUUGACUCACUUUCCCACUUCCUUUUCCCGCUCCUGAACCCGCCACUGAGCCCUUCCCCUCCCGCCCCGCCAUACGUCACAUACGGCCAUACAUACGUACCUACAGCUACGUCGGUAUUUAUGCCAGCGGCACCACCAGCAACUCCCAGAAGAUCAUGAGCACCAUCGGCUACACAGUCACCGGCAUUGCCAUGUUCAGCGAUGCGGAUGCUACCGGGUCUGACGCCUACGUCAACGUGGGUCGCGGGUUGGGGGGUCUGACGGCGGUUGGGGGGCCUUUGCAGCGGAUAACCGGCGGAACACACCAUCAUGGCUGCAGUACUGCCGCCCCUGCCCCUUAUGCAGCUGUGCUGCUAAUCCCGCCACUGCCCCUGCUGCUACUGCCCAUUACAGGAGGGCCACACUUUCGAUGGAUGCCGCGGUCACGCCGGUGAGUGAGGUUUCAUGCGGUUCCUGCCUGUGUGUUACUGUUGCUGUGCGCGCAUUGUGAGGUCCUCUGCUUGUUGCGGCCCUGCCCGGCAUGGGGCAGAGGUGGACACGGGGGCGGAGGGGCAUUGGCGGCGUCCGAGUAGUAGUGUGCAGCCUCUAUGGCUUCGGACCCCUAUCCAUGCAAGGGAUGUUGGUCCUUGCUCCAUGAUAAAUGGAAGGUGCAGAGUACUGGACCUUGGAGCCUUUGUGUCCACAAUCAUUCCUUGUGCCCCGCCCCAAACCAAGUCGCCUGCCGCCGCUACCCCCCAGCUCCCCUAACCGUUCUGUCCUCAUCUAAAGCCACCUCACGCCCUAAUCCCGAUCCCUGCCUACUUCGGCGUGCAGAAAUGAACGGUCUCUACCACUAUCACUCGGAGCCUGGCUCCGGCUGCGUGUACAACGAGACCGCGGGCACGCACUCCCCCCUGCUGGGUAUCAUGUACGACAGCAUCCCGAUUUACGGCGCCCUGGGCGACAACGGUGUGCCGCCGGCGGACCUAGACGAGUGCGGCGGCCACACAGACACCACCUACCCCUUCUACCACUACCACACCACAUACAACUUGAAGUCCCCGUGAGUAUAACCAAACGGUCUGUUAGGUCCAGAUAUGCCUAACGAUAUCCUGUAAAUGCGGGAGCGUUGGAUGGACUACUUGUGAUUACAUGCCAAUCCGGAAGACGAGAAAUAUGCGAGUUUAGGGCUUAGCUUGGACUCGGAUCCACAUUUUAGUAUAUGAAGGAUGACACCUGUCGUACUCCAACGGUAGCAAGACAUGCAUACAUGCAUGGCAGCACACCAUAAUAUUACCUAGUUGAAGCCGUGGCGCGAAGGAGGGUUGUACCCGUUGUACCCGUUUUUCGGGCCCCGUUGGCUGGGAUAGAUACAGCUGCAGUGCAGGGCCCUCACGCAUGCAAGGCCCUCCGCCCAGGCAUAUUGUCACUAGGGUUUUUCAGAGCUUGAGAAGGCCCCUCCGCUCCUCUGGGGCAUCUGGCCCUGGGAGCAUGUGCACGGAAGUGAUCCGACCCCUCCGCGGUAACAGUUACUUUCCGUACAUGUCGUACAGGUACCUCGUCAAGUGCUUCCGCGGCUGCAUUUUCAACGCCAACGGCAACCCCUCGGUGAGCUGCCGCCUGGCCCAGACCUGUCGGUCUUACCACACAUACAGCCCUCAUCUGCCUUGUGUGCUUGCGUGGCUCUUUCAGACAGUUGCCAUUGCCCGAGGACUUGCCCGUAGCCUGGGACCGGACCGUGCAACAUAUGCGCUUGGCUGUUGAUGGUCAUUUUCUUCAUGCUGCGUGCACGACAUGCGUUGCUUUGCUGUUCGCGCAUGUCCCAGAGAUGUUGAGGGUUUUCAGGGCGCUCAGGUCAUCGGGUCAUUAUGGCACCCGCCAUCACCACCGUGAGCUGAUUGGACAAGAGCAUCAUCAUCUAAUGCUUUAGCAAUGCCACCCGUUACGAUGUGUCACUGUGACUAGACCUCCGAACUGUUGCCCUGUUCCUCCCUCCCGCAGAUCCAGCAGUACAACCUGGUCAAGACCGACGCCACGUGCGUAAAGGCGGCGACGCAGUACGACUACAGCUCCUUCGUCAAUCCCCUGCUGUCGUCAAGCCCUGUGACUACCAGCUCGCCGCCGCCGCCGCCACAAACCGGGUCAAGUAGCCCGCCGCCGCCGCCAUCAGCGCUGCGCAGCCCGCCGCCGGUGCUUGGGAAGCCACCAAAGGCGCAGGCGGGUAGCCCGCCACCGCCUCCGCCACCAACAUCGCGCAGCCCGCCGCCGGUGCUUGGGAAGCCACCAAAGGCGCAGGCGGGUAGCCCGCCGCCGCCGCCACCAACAUCGCGCAGCCCGCCGCCGGCAAUGACACGUAGCCCGCCGCCGUCGCUGCCAUCCAAGUCGCCGCCGCCGCCACCGCCACCGGCAGUAGCGGGGUCGCCGCCACCAGCGGGGAUGCGGCCCAAGCCGCCCAAGGCUGUGGUAGGCAGGCGCCUGUAAAGUAUUGACGUGUUCUUUGCAUUCAUGAGGCGCCAGACAUGCUUCUCACCAUAUCGUGGACAUGUUAAGCCCACCCUUCCGGGCGUUUAUGUACCAUAGCCGUUGCUUCGGUUACAUUCAUUAGGAUCCAUUCCAUAACCCGGAUCCAAAUGUUACAUUGCUAUGCCUGCUUAUGCCUGAAGUACGCGUUCGAAUUCAUCAAGCGAUGUGCACUGGGACCCAUUUUGAGUUGGUUGCACGCUAUAGUUGCUUUUGAGGUGAUGGAUAUAUCAAAGGUAAUCUUGAGGGCGCGAUGGCCAAACACAGCCGUACGUGUAUGAUUCUGAAGCUAAUCUUGUGAGACAUUAGAUUCGCAAGCAUCAUAUAUAAGAAACACUGCUGCACAGGUUACCCCUUCAUGCUAAUAAACACGAUGCAUGGUACAUUGUUGCGGCAUCUGCUGGGAAGGGGAUGUGGCGCCGUACGGGGAGGCCGGAGCGCUCCCAAGGCGCAGAUCGCUUGCGUCCAUGCAUGGGCGUGCAUGUAGUGGUCGUAGAUUGCACGCAUGUGGAAAUAUAACGACACCUGUCAUCGCUCGUGGUCCAUAAUAUCACGUAUGUCCAUCGCCAUAAUUUCGGCUUGGAGGAGGCCAAUCAGCAGCCAAUAAAACUCAGUUGUAUCCGCUAGUUCGGGUUAGGUUGGGGUAGUUCGGGCUCAGGUAAUUCGCGUACGUUUUCGAGGCAUGGUGUUGUUGUAUUGGUCAACAAUUGUAGGUUACAUACAGCUGCUCAACGAGCGCGCUCCUCGUGUGUCGAGCAAUUUAGCUAGAUUAAUCCCGGACCCCAGGCGCAUGGAUGGCGGUAUGGAGCUGUCCCGAUACGGAGCAUGGCCCGCCGUUAUCGGAAAACCAUGUGACAUCCUUAGAUGCUUGACUCUUGUAAAGUACUCUUCCCGGGCAGUGUACAAUUCAUGAAAUGAGUGCAAAACAUGUGGUCAUGGCCUGCAUUGGAAUACCAUGCGCAACAUGACCUGGUCAUGUUCCACAUGUCAUAGAUAUUUAUGUGCAGGUAUAUGACCGACUUUAUGACCCCCUGGGGUCAUAAAGCGCAGCCAUGACUGCCAGUGGCUGGGGUCAUAUUGGGAUCCACUUUUUCAUAAAUUGACAUCAUGAAUCGCAGACAUUCUAUGACCCCCACCAGUCAUAUCCUGCACUUGGCUUUUGCAAACUAUGAACAGUUCCAUGACCGGAUCCAUGAAUAAGUGACAAAUUAUGACCGGAUCUAUAACAACAUUCAUGACCGGAUCCAUGACUGGAAAACCCGUCCAUGACCAAGCCGUUCCCCGAGUGCCCUGUCCUCGCUCUGCCUGCGCGUCAGUAACACCACACACAGCAGCCGAACUCGCAAGCGUAGCAAAUACCGAGGACAGGCUUGUAAAGACAGGGCAUUUCUGGUGGCCCAGGUUCAAAUAUAAAAACAACAACAGGUUUUCGGGAGGUUUAGGGGUCUCACACUUUGCUUGAGAUUGACUGGAUCCACCCCAAAGCGCCCCAAGGCUUGCUACAUGCGCGACCGUGCGCUUCCCGUGUUUUGACACACAAGGCGAGUUCGUUCCGAUCCGAGCCAGCACGGUGACCGUGGGUUUCGUCAAUGUAAUCUGUAGCUGCCAAUUGAUCUUGACAGAGAGGUUACGUCCAAUUACGAGGGGGUUGCAAAGCAUGUAGCAAUGUCCCAGUCACUAAAAUAAGCAAAGCUCGGUAUAUACCAUAUAUGGUAACCGCCGCAUCGACCAUCCCCAACCAUUCUUGUAUGCCAGGGGUGUAUGUGAAUACUUUUAUGCACAACUGAAGUUUUUGCACGCAUGUCGAUAAUUUCGUUGGUCCUGUGGACAAGGAUGAGGACAUCAAAAUGGCGGUAGUCCACACACCCCGAGGAGGAGCUCAAGAGCUCAUUUGUGCGCGUUCUGGAGGUGUGUACUGUCCAAACACGAAUGACAUGCGGGUGAACUCUGCACACGGUGUGCAUGACUCAUGCCAUCUCGCAGAUGGCUACCCGCAUUGCUGGCAUGGGAGCAGUGUUGUUCGUCAGUUACGAACUUCCCCCGCGAGCGUCCUCGAACUGCCUACGGACAUGAAGCCGUUUCUCGUUGCUGCAAUGGUCCAAUACAUAUACCUCUCAAAUACAUUGACCACGCCUUGAGGUGGAGCUGUCGUUUGCGUUUUAAGGUGCUUGACCCCUGAAAUCAUGAAUUGGUCCAUGCUGAAAAAACAGUCAUGUUUGAUGUUAUGAUGGCACAUAGUAGGAGUGAACUGGGUGCAAUAGGUGUAACACAACAGUUGUGGUCAGGCAAACGAUCAAUGGAGGGAUGGUGGCACGCAAAGCAUGAUCGAUUGUUGAAUAAUUGGCACGCUAUCAUGCGUAUUGUGUCCGCGCCGGCAGACGAAACGUUUUAGGGGACCACGUGAUGAUUGCGUUUUUGAGCUCGUCCGCUCGUCAAAACGGUCAUUGUCUUUACCGUUGAGUUCUAUUUAGGCCCUUCUUUUUUCAAUUUACAUGAUAAUAAUUGUAUUAGGGGUGAUUUCAAUAUCCACCAGUGUGAUAGGGGUGACUUUAACAUCCUUCAAUGAACUCGUUGGGCUUAUUGGAGAUGCUGGCUUUGGCAUUUGUAAUAGCUUUACCAGGCUUAAAGGCUUUAAGUUUGCAGCCUGGUGCCGGCGGUGGCAGCACGCUAAGUGCUUGCCCAAGUGGCAAUGGCCAGGUAAAUGCCGGCUGACAAGGUCUUAAUCGGGUUUGAUUGCCAUUAAAUUAAAAGGAUUUCAAUAAUCGAGAAAUUUCCUAUUCUAUCCUUACCAACACUAGAAGUCGAGGGCGCCUGGGCCGCGGCAUGUCGCGACCGACGUUCGUCGCUAAAACUCCACACGCAGCCGCUAGUGAACGGAUAACGUCCAUAUCUAAACCUUUAAUCAGCGCUAACUGCAUGUCCACUAUGCUGGUCUGCUGCGUGCUGGCGGGGACGUAUCAUUUAUACGGCUCAUUUGACAGGUGGUGCGGCUGGUGAGCAAAACGAGCACCGAGUACACGGUCUUCUUCAGCGGCUGCCCGUUCUACAGCCCCUACAAUCAGACCACACCUAACACACCAGCCUUCCAGAACAAGACGGU
rnacentral:lncRNA from 1 species